rnacentral:rRNA from 1 species
CCUACGGGAGGCAGCAGUGGGGAAUCUUGCGCAAUGGGCGAAAGCCUGACGCAGCCAUGCCGCGUGAAUGAUGAAGGUCUUAGGAUUGUAAAAUUCUUUCACCGAGGACGAUAAUGACGGUACUCGGAGAAGAAGCCCCGGCUAACUUCGUGCCAGCAGCCGCGGUAAUACGAAGGGGGCUAGCGUUGCUCGGAAUUACUGGGCGUAAAGGGAGCGUAGGCGGAUAGUUUAGUCAGAGGUGAAAGCCCAGGGCUCAACCUUGGAAUUGCCUUUGAUACUGGCUAUCUUGAGUACGGAAGAGGUAUGUGGAACUCCGAGUGUAGAGGUGAAAUUCGUAGAUAUUCGGAAGAACACCAGUGGCGAAGGCGACAUACUGGUCCGUUACUGACGCUGAGGCUCGAAAGCGUGGGGAGCAAACAGGAUUAGAUACCCUGGUAGUCCACGCUGUAAACGAUGAGUGCUAGUUGUCGGCAUGCAUGCAUGUCGGUGACGCAGCUAACGCAUUAAGCACUCCGCCUGGGGAGUACGGUCGCAAGNUAAAACUUAAAGGAAUUGACGGCUGAGAGNGCGAGACGACACGAGGGAGAGG